GACAGAGGGUGCAAACGUUGUUCGGAAUUACUGGGCGUAAAGCGCGUGUAGGCGGCCCUGCAAGUCGGAUGUGAAAUCCCACGGCUCAACCGUGGAAGUGCAUUCGAAACUGCAGGGCUAGAGUCCUGGAGAGGAAGGUGGAAUGCUUGGUGUAGAGGUGAAAUUCGUAGAUAUCAAGCGGAACACCGGUGGCGAAGGCGGCCUUCUGGACAGUGACUGACGCUGAGACGCGAAAAGCGUGGGGGAGCAAACAGGG
rnacentral:rRNA from 1 species